rnacentral:rRNA from 1 species
GCCUACGGGGGGCAGCAGUAGGGAAUCUUCCACAAUGGGCGAAAGCCUGAUGGAGCAACGCCGCGUGGGUGAAGAAGGUCUUCGGAUCGUAAAACCCUGUUGUUAGAGAAGAAAGUGCGUGAGAGUAACUGUUCACGUUUCGACGGUAUCUAACCAGAAAGCCACGGCUAACUACGUGCCAGCAGCCGCGGUAAUACGUAGGUGGUAAGCGUUAUCCGGAUUUAUUGGGCGUAAAGGGAACGCAGGCGGUCUUUUAAGUCUGAUGUGAAAGCCUUCGGCUUAACCGGAGUAGUGCAUUUGAAACU